CCGUGGUGGGCGCUGGGCCGGGUCCUCCAAGCCCCCGGGAGCAGCAGGGGGGCGGGCCCGUGAGGAGCCUGGUGCCUGCGAUGGGACUUCAAGUCCUCACUGGGUGGGGAGCGAGUUAUGACAACCUCCUCCUGGGCUUAUCCAGGAAGAUGAGGCUAAGCCCAAAGACUGCAUACGAG